rnacentral:rRNA from 1 species
AACGAACGCUGGCGGCAGGCCUAACACAUGCAAGUCGAGCGGACCCUUCGGGGUUAGCGGCGGAUGGGUGUGUAACGCGUGGGAAUAUGCCCUUCUCUACGGAAUAGUCCUGGGAAACUGGGGGUAAUACCGUAUACGCCCUUUGGGGGAAAGAUUUAUCGGGGAAGGAUUAGCCCGCGUUGGAUUAGGUAGUUGGUGGGGUAAUGGCCUACUAAGCCGACGAUUCAUAGCUGGUUUGAGAGGAUGAUCAGCCACACUGAGACUGAGACACGGCCCAGACUCCUACGGGAGGCAGCAGUGGGGAAUCUUAGAAAGUGGGGGGAACCAUGAACGAGCCAUGCCGGGUGAGUGAUGAAGGCCUUAGGGUUGUAAAGCUCUUUCAGCUGGGAAGAUAAUGACGGUACCAGCAGAAGAAGCCCCGGCUAACUCCGUG